rnacentral:rRNA from 1 species
UGAGCAAUCUGCCCUUUCUCUUUGGAAUAAGCGUUGGAAACGACGUCUAAUGCCGAAUACGACCUCCUUUCGCAUGAUCGGAGGUGGAAAGCUCCGGCGGAGAAGGAUGAGCUCGCGGCCUAUCAGCUAGUUGGUGUGGGUAAUGGCCCACCAAGGCGACGACGGGUAGCCGGCCUGAGAGGGUGACCGGCCACACUGGGACUGAGACACGGCCCAGACUCCUACGGGAGGNAGCG